AUAACAGAUCACAAUACAACAAUGUCACAGUAUUUCAUCUGCAGUUCAACCAAAAUAAAAGUUUAAACAGGUUUAAUUUAGCAUGAAAUAUUGUAAUGGGAGAUCAAAUGUGGUGAAUCCAGAAGAUCACACAUUCAAGCUUCUUUGUUUAUUAAUUGCAAUUAAUAAUAAAAAAAUAAAAAUAAAAACAUUACUUUAUAAAAUUCAGUAAUUAAAACAUUUUAAAUGUAUGUAGUGAGAGACAGAGUGAAAUCAUAUGGGUCUAAUAUAACUGUGUUUUUAUCUAAGCAGAAUCAUGAAUAUUUCAUGAAUGUUUUAAACAACAUCAAUCUGUGACGUUAAAAACAUUUAAAUGGAGACGUUUUCGUUCUCACGGAGGCAAAUAUGUUUUGAAACCAAACAAUCAUAAGAUUAAACAACAAUAAAAGCAGAUAAAAUAAAAUAAUAAAAAUGAAUAAUUGUUUAAAUUGAAUAAUUCAAUGAUAAAUGUUUUUGAUUAUACAUGAAUAAUAAUAAAAAGAAAGAAAGAAAGAAAGAAAGAAAAUAACAGACAGAUGGUCGCUCUCUUGCAGCAACACACACAGAGACUGUUAUUGAGAAUCCUGAGAUGCUUCAUGACGGAGACACAGCCUCCUCAAAUAAACUGAGAUCAGGAAACUUAUCACUAUACAUACAUAAAAAACCAGCAUUAUGAAAUUACAUUCAUUAAUGUAUAAACUACAUAGUUUUAUAACACAUUUGCAAAGUAAUUUUUCCACUGAAGAGCUGUUUGAGUCACUUUAUGUUUUUGUCUUUCUUCACAGCUUUACCAACAUCUACACUGACUGUGACUCCAGACAGUACAGUAUUCACUGGAGAGACAGUCUAUCUGACGUGUGUGAUAAACUCUGAUCACAGUGACUGGAGAUAUGAGUGGUAUAAAGACACAGACAGUGUAAUGUUACAGACGUCUGAGCGUUACACUGUAAACAGAAACACUCUCACUAUUGAACGCUCUAACACAUCUGAUGCGGGUCAGUACACGUGUAGAGGACACAUAGAUGGAAGAUCAGUCUCAUCACAAUCAAGCUCUGCUGAUUCUCUCUCAGUGAAGGAAAGAAACUGAAGAAGCUGAUGUAGUAUUUAGAUUCAUUUACACAGACAGAUUAAUGAUGCUGAAAUGUAUCCAUUUCUUCUGUCUUAUGACUUUUUACAGUGCAUUAUGUUGUAUUCUCUGGAUUUAUCCUCACAAAAGAAUAUUAAGGCAACAGAAAAAUAUUAAGGAAAAAAUAUAAGCAGCCAUAGAAUACAUAAGGCAUCUUUAAAACCCAGGCACUGCUCCAAAACAUAGACCACCUUUCAUCAGCCGCUUCAUUACAGAGAGACUUUCUAGAAGUACAACAAUAUGUUGUCACAAUAUAUCACAAUACAAAAAUACAACAAUAAGUAUUGUAUGAAUGAAUGAAUGAAUGAUGCA
ensembl:lncRNA